rnacentral:rRNA from 1 species
GGCGACCGGCGCACGGUGCGUAACGCGUAUGUAACCUACCUAUAACAGGGGCAUAACACUGAGAAAUUGGUACUAAUUCCCCAUAAUAUUCGGAGAGGCAUCUCUCCGGGUUGAAAACUCCGGUGGUUAUAGAUGGACAUGCGUUGUAUUAGCUAGUUGGUGAGGUAACGGCUCACCAAGGCAACGAUACAUAGGGGGACUGAGAGGUUAACCCCCCACACUGGUACUGAGACACGGACCAGACUCCUACGGGAGGCAGCAUGC